GACGUAGGGGGCGAGCGUUGUCCGGAUUUAUUGGGCGUAAAGGCGCGCGUAGGCGGCCGCGCAAGUCGGAUGUGAAACCCGGGGCUCAACCCCGGGCGAUGCAUUCGAUACUGCGCGGUCUGAGACAGGUAGGGGGAAGAGUCGAAUUCCUGGUGUAGCGGUGAAAUGCGCAGAUAUCAGGAGAACACCGGUGGCGAAGGCGGGUCUCUGGGCCGAUACUGACGCUGAGGAGCGAAAGCGUGGGGAGCGAACAGG
rnacentral:rRNA from 1 species